AGCUUUGUACAGGGGCAGUAUAAGCAUAGCCAAUGAGGUUUACCUGAGGUGUGAUUAUUGCUAAUUGAAAACAAGUGCAUUGAUAUAACAGUGGUACACAUCAAUAUCCAAUGUUUCACCACCUUAAAAAUGA
rnacentral:snRNA from 1 species